rnacentral:rRNA from 1 species
UCGAGCGGCAGCGCGGGGCAACCUGGCGGCGAGCGGCGAACGGGUGAGUAAUGCAUCGGAACAUGUCCAUGUCGUGGGGGAUAGCCCGGCGAAAGCCGGAUUAAUACCGCAUACGCCCGAGAGGGGAAAGCCGGGGACCGCAAGGCCUGGCGCGAUUGGGUUGGCCGAUGUCCGAUUAGCUAGUUGGCGGGGUAAGAGCCCACCAAGGCGAUGAUCGGUAGCUGGUCUGAGAGGAUGAUCAGCCACACUGGGACUGAGACACGGCCCAGACUCCUACGGGAGGCAGCAGUGGGGAAUUUUGGACAAUGGGGGCAACCCUGAUCCAGCCAUUCCGCGUGAGUGAAGAAGGCCUUCGGGUUGUAAAGCUCUUUUGUCCGGAACGAAACGGUUGGCGUGAAUAUCGCCGACUACUGACGGUACCGGAAGAAUAAGCACCGGCUAACUACGUGCCAGCAGCCGCGGUAAUACGUAGGGUGCGAGCGUUAAUCGGAAUUACUGGGCGUAAAGCGUGCGCAGGCGGUUUUGUAAGCCAGAUGUGAAAUCCCCGGGCUUAACCUGGGAAUGGCAUUUGGGACUGCAAGGCUGGAGUUUGGCAGAGGAGACUGGAAUUCCCGGUGUAGCAGUGAAAUGCGUAGAUAUCGGGAGGAAUACCGAUGGCGAAGGCAGGUCUCUGGGCUAUAACU